rnacentral:rRNA from 1 species
AUACGGAGGAUGCAGGCGUUAUCUGGAUUUAUUAGGUUUAAAGGGUGCGCAGGCGGUUUUUUAAGUCAGUGUUGAAAGUUUGCAGCUUAACUGUAAAAUUGGCAUUGAAACUGGAAGACUUGAAUAUGGUAGAGGUAGGUGGAAUGUGUAGUGUAGCGGUGAAAUGCUUAGAUAUUACACAGAACACCGAUUGCGAAGGCAGCUUACUAUACCAUUAUUGACGCUGAGGCACGAAAGCGUGGGUAGCGAACAGGAUUAGAAACCCGAGUAGUCC